GGGGUCGAAUGGGGUGAAUGGGGUUAAUGGGGAUAAUGGGGGUUAAUGGGGUUAAUGGGGUCAAUGGGGUCAAUGGGGUUUCCACCCCCCCAGGGCAGUUCCUGGGGUUAAUGGGGUCAACGGGGUCAGUGGGGUCAGUGGGGUCAAUGGGGUUUCUGCCCCCCAGGGCAGUUCCUGAGGUUAAUGGGGGUAUGAAUGGGGUCAUUGGGGUCAAUAGGGUCAAUGGGGUCAGUGGUGUCAAUGGGGUGAGCGGUGUUUGCGCCCCGCAGGGUGGUUCCUGGGGUUAAUAGGGGUGUCAAUGGGGUCAAUGGGGUCAAUGGGGUCAAUGGGGUCAGUGGUGUCAAUGGGGUCAGCGGUGUUUGCGCCCCGCAGGGCGGUUCCUGGGGUUAAUAGGGGUGUCAAUGGGGUCAGUGGGGUCAAUGGGGUCAAUGGGGUCAGUGGUGUCAAUGGGGUGAGCGGUGUUUGCGCCCCGCAGGGCGGUUCCUGGGGUUAAUAGGGGUGUCAAUGGGGUCAAUGGGGUCAAUGGGGUCAAUGGGGUCAGUGGUGUCAAUGGGGUGAGCGGUGUUUGCGCCCCGCAGGGCGGUUCCUGUGGUUAAUGGGGUUAUGAAUGGGGUCAAUGGGGUCAGUGGUGUCAAUGGGGUCAGUGGUGUCAAUGGGGUCAGUGGUGUUUGCGCCCCGCAGGGCGGUUCCUGGGGUUAAUAGGGGUGUCAAUGGGGUCAGUGGGGUCAAUG
ensembl:lncRNA